GUCAGCCCGCCCCCGGAGGCGGGGCCUUAUAGAGGCGCGGUCACGUCACCAUGGUGACCGGCUUCUGCGGGGCGGGGCGAGCUCCGAGGCGCGUGAGCGGUGUGGGACCCAGAGCUAUCGAAUUAAGUCAAUAUUAACAGCAAAACAUGAGAGUAUUGCGAGGGAGAACAGAAGAACAGGAGGAGAACGGAAGGAGAAACAGAAUUAUAGAGGAGCAAUGUAUAAAUUUACCAUUUUUAAAGUCAGUCAGAAGACAAAUACUCUGGUGGAAAUCUUGCCAUGAAGAAGAGCUGAAAAUAAGCACCUGGAUGAGCUGAUAGUCAA
rnacentral:lncRNA from 1 species